AAUUCGUCUAUUUUGGAAUGCUCUUAAAGAGGCUAACUUCCAUCUGCUAGUACAACUCAGAGUCUUUAAUUUCAGUAUCAGAUCUUCCAACUUUUGCAUUUUAGAAAUUUCUCGUAUCACUUUACUUUCUAACCUUGUACCGGUUGCUAAAUCGACGUGAUUAUCCACGCAGGUCGACAUGUUAUAAUUGUAAAACCACUAGAUAUCUGAGGAGUGGUGGUGGCAACCUAGAGAGCCAUGUUUAUAGUUCUGAGGAGUUGUCCUUGAGCGUCGUCGAUCAACUAAUCAGGACUUCGACAAAUCGCAACCUCGUCUAGUUAUUCUAAUCUACCUAUGAAGCAAUCAGAAGUUCCUAGCAAGAAGGAAACUAAAAGGAAACUUGCGGCGGAUAUAGGAACGGCUCCUAAUGAAAAUGAUGCAUAUUUGGAUCUCAAACUAUCACCUCCAGGGGUCUACUUAAGGGGUAAAUCAUCUAAUGAAUCGAAAUCGUCGUCCCCAAGAUCUCAAGACUCAUGCGUAUCUGCUGAGGUUGAGUCAAAUGUAAGCUUGGAGAAUAAUCUUCGAGAUGAAAGCUCGUCUUUGAUUGUGAUGGGAUGUACUUGUUGCCUCCUUUAUGUGAUGGUGACAGAGGCAGAUCCCAGAUGCCCUAAAUGCAAAAACUAUGGCUUGCUCGACAUUUUUCGUCGAAAUCAGGUGAAGAGAUCAAGAAAGAACUAGUUCGAGGACGAAGUUUACAUGGUGGCUUGUGUUCAAAUGCUCCAGUAUGCUCUUCAACUGAUGCACCCUCUGCCUUUUUUCUUAGUGUCCUAAACCAUCUUAAUACUUGGGGAGUCAGAAUUUGAUAAAAGAUAUGGUUUAUUUAUAUCUUUUUGCUCAGUAGUUUGGUUUUCUUUCCUUUCUUUUGAGAAGGCCAAUUCACAUAUUAACUGUGAUUCUGAUGUUAAAGAGUAAAAAUUUUUCUUUCUUUGGGCAAAUCACAGAGUUCAUUCUUUUUUUGUGCAUUUACUCUGUUGAAGGCUUUUCCGUGCAUUCCAUUUUUUGUUAAGGCGGGGAACAGCGAAUUCUCUUUCUCGUGUUCACAAAUCGCCAUUGGAGCUCAUUAACCAGAACUGUAUUCAGAACAAAGAAUUCAGCAAUAGACUUGGUGAGUUCAUUCAGGCUACCUUGUCUUGAUCUUUCUUUUUUUUUUUUUUUUUUACCAUAUUUGCUUCUUUCUUGAACUAAAUAAUGCUUGUUUUUAGGGAUUUUCAGAAGUUCAACACAGUAUAGCAACUCUAGAUUUUGGAGCUCUGAUUUUCUUCAUUUAUUUUCCUUUCAAGGUGUACAUAUAUGGUAAAUUCAUCGAUAAUGGGUACGUUUUUGCAGGGGCGGGGAGGGUAACUUAAUCAAUCUUCAUUUAUUUUCCUUUUUGGAGAUUAAAACAAAGGCAGUUAAACGUGUUUUAAGACUAAAACCAAAGGGUUUUGAAGAUUGAAAUUAAACCAUUCUAUAGACUAAAGGCUUUGAAAACUAAAGUUCGUGAGAGAAGGAAUCAAAGGACUAUAGGAUAGAGUUGAACUUCACUACAUACAUCAAAUCAAUAUCAAUGCAAAUUCAAGUUCAAUUGCACGAAUAGUUUGGUAAGUUGAAUGGGAUUUGCUCUAUCUACCUUUCAUCUCUUACUCUCAUCUAAAAUCUAGUGAGAAGUGAUGAUAAUGAGGCUAUUGCAUGGGUUUCAUGCGACUCUUAUACGGGAUUGUCUACUUUUCAUCGUUCCAAAGAAACUCAAUAACUCAAAGUAGAGCAAUCUUUAUGUGAUUGCACACGAUAUAUUGACUCGAGUGAUAGAAAGUCCAAAAGUGUAAUCGAUGAAAAUUCCUUAUUCUACAGAUCUUUUUCAUCGUCUAAACAAGCAAAUGAUAUGUCAUAUCCUUUUGUCAUGAUGGCUGAUGUAGGUACUUGCGAAGAAAGAAUGACUGAAUUGAAAAAAAAAAAAAA